AGCGAACGCUGGCGGCAGGCUUAACACAUGCAAGUCGAACGCAUCACUUCGGUGGUGAGUGGCAGACGGGUGCGUAACACGUGGGAACGUACCCUUCGAUCUGGGAUAACUUCGGGAAACUGGAGCUAAUACCGGAUACGCCCUUUUGGGGAAAGGUUUACUGUCGAAGGAUCGGCCCGCGUCUGAUUAGCUAGUUGGUGGGGUAACGGCCUACCAAGGCGACGAUCAGUAGCUGGUCUGAGAGGAUGAUCAGCCACACUGGGACUGAGACACGGCCCAGACUCCUACGGGAGGCAGCAGUGGGGAAUAUUGGACAAUGGGCGCAAGCCUGAUCCAGCCAUGCCGCGUGAGUGAUGAAGGCCUUAGGGUUGUAAAGCUCUUUUGUCCGGGACGAUAAUGACGGUACCGGAAGAAUAAGCCCCGGCUAACUUCGUG
rnacentral:rRNA from 1 species